rnacentral:rRNA from 1 species
CGUGACUCGGGGCCGUCAGCGGCGGUAAUAAGUAGGUGGCAAGCGUUAAUCGGAAUUACUGGGGCUAAAGUGUGCGCGGGCGGCCAGGCAGGUCGAGGGGGAAAGCCCCGGGCUUAACGUGGGAAUUGCGCUCGAAGCUACGUGGCUGGAGUGUGGCAGAGGAAGGUGGAAUUCCACGUGUAGCGGUGAAAUGCGUAGAGAUGUGGAGGAACACCAAUGGCGAAGGCAGCCUUCUGGGCCAACACUGACGCGCAUGCACGAAAGCGUGGGGAGCAAACAGGAUUAGAUACCCGGGUAGUC